GGCGGGGCGGACAGGUCUGGGCGGAGCAGGAGGCGGAGGCGCCGCGUAGGCCCGGGAGGCCGGGCCGGCCGGGCUGCGGGCCCCUGCCCCAUGCGCCGCCGCCUCCCCGCACGAUGUUCCCCUCGCGGAGGAAAGCGGCGCAGCUGCCCUGGGAGGACGGCAGGUCCAGGUUGCUGUCCGGCAGCCUCCCUCGGAAAUGUUCCGUCUUCCACCUCUUCGUGGCCUGUCUCUUACUGGGCUUCUUCUCCCUACUCUGGCUGCAGCUCAGCUGCUCUGGUGAUGUAGGCCGGGCAGCCAGGGGACAAGGGCAGGAGACCUCGGGCCCUCCUCGGGCCUGCCCCCCAGAGCCACCCCCUGAGCAGUGGGAAGAAGACGCAUCGUGGGGCCCCCACCGCUUGGCAGUGCUGGUGCCCUUCCGCGAACGCUUCGAGGAGCUCCUGGUCUUUGUGCCCCACAUGCACCGCUUCCUGAGCAGGAAGAAGAUCCAGCACCACAUCUAUGUACUCAACCAGGUGGACCACUUCAGGUUCAACCGGGCGGCGCUUAUCAACGUGGGCUUCCUGGAGAGCAGCAACAGCACGGACUACAUUGCCAUGCAUGACGUUGACCUGCUCCCUCUCAACGAGGAGCUAGACUAUGGCUUUCCUGAGGCUGGGCCCUUCCAUGUGGCCUCCCCGGAGCUCCACCCUCUCUACCACUACAAGACUUAUGUCGGCGGCAUCCUGCUGCUCUCCAAGCAGCACUACCAGCUGGUUCCAGGCCCCAUGAGAGCGGGAGAGGGACUGGGAUGUACUGCUUCCUGCCGCCCCCAGCACUGCAGAGGUGGAGGAGCCUGUAAGCACCUGGCGCUUACUCAGAACCGCCCGGGGAGAGGGGCACUCCCAAGCGGUAGGAGACCAAAGGCCCCCACCGGGAGGAUGGGGCGAGUGACGCUGCUUGUCUCUGUGUCAGUGCAAUGGGAUGUCCAACCGCUUCUGGGGCUGGGGCCGCGAGGACGAUGAGUUCUACCGGCGCAUUAAAGGAGCUGGGCUGCAGCUUUUCCGCCCCUCGGGAAUCACAACUGGGUACAAGACAUUUCACCACCUGCAUGACCCAGCCUGGCGGAAGAGGGACCAGAAGCGCAUCGCGGCUCAAAAACAGGAGCAGUUCAAGGUGGACAGGGAGGGAGGCCUGAACACUGUGAAGUACCAAGUGGCUUCCCGCACUGCCCUGUCCGUGGGCGGGGCCCCCUGUACUGUCCUCAACAUCAUGUUGGACUGUGACAAGACCGCCACGCCCUGGUGCACAUUCAGCUGAGUUGGAUGGACAGUGAGGAAGCCUGUACCUACAGGCCACAUUGCUAAGGCUCAGGACAAGGCCUCAGGUCCCAGGCCCAGCUCCGACAGGAUGUGGGGUGGCCAUGACCAAGACAGCAAGCUACUCAGUUGCAGCCAGCUGGCUGCCAAGGCGGGCUUGAGCUGGGCCAGGACACGUGGGGUGCCUGGGACGCUGCUAGCCAUGCACAGUGAUCAGAGAGCGGCUGGGGAUCCCCCAAGCAAAAUGGAAACGCCUCCACCUCCCACCCUCAAAAGCACCCAACAAUGGACCCUGGGCACCGGGGGCCUCAUAGGGAAUUGUUUGCAUCACAGUAAAAUCUACAAAGUUCCCA